rnacentral:rRNA from 1 species
CCAUGCAAGUCGAACGGUGAAGCAGGAGCUUGCUCUUGUGGAUCAGUGGCGAACGGGUGAGUAACACGUGAGCAACCUGCCCCGAACUCUGGGAUAAGCGCUGGAAACGGCGUCUAAUACUGGAUAUGCACCAGGAAGGCAUCUUCUCUGGUGGGAAAGAUUUUUUGGUUCGGGAUGGGCUCGCGGCCUAUCAGCUUGUUGGUGAGGUAAUGGCUCACCAAGGCGUCGACGGGUAGCCGGCCUGAGAGGGUGACCGGCCACACUGGGACUGAGACACGGCCCAGACUCCUACGGGAGGCAGCAGUGGGGAAUAUUGCACAAUGGGCGGAAGCCUGAUGCAGCAACGCCGCGUGAGGGACGACGGCCUUCGGGUUGUAAACCUCUUUUAGCAGGGAAGAAGCGAAAGUGACGGUACCUGCAGAAAAAGCGCCGGCUAACUACGUGCCAGCAGCCGCGGUAAUACGUAGGGCGCAAGCGUUAUCCGGAAUUAUUGGGCGUAAAGAGCUCGUAGGCGGUCUGUCGCGUCUGCUGUGAAAACCCGAGGCUCAACCUCGGGCCUGCAGUGGGUACGGGCAGACUAGAGUGCGGUAGGGGAGAUUGGAAUUCCUGGUGUAGCGGUGGAAUGCGCAGAUAUCAGGAGGAACACCGAUGGCGAAGGCAGAUCUCUGGGCCGUAACUGACGCUGAGGAGCGAAAGGGUGGGGAGCAAACAGGCUUAGAUACCCUGGUAGUCCACCCCGUAAACGUUGGGAACUAGUUGUGGGGGCCUUUCCACGGUCUCCGUGACGCAGCUAACGCAUUAAGUUCCCCGCCUGGGGAGUACGGCCGCAAGGCUAAAACUCAAGGAAUUGACGGGGACCCGCACAAGCGGCGGAGCAUGCGGAUUAAUUCGAUGCAACGCGAAGAACCUUACCAAGGCUUGACAUAUUCGAGAACGCUGCAGAAAUGCAGAACUCUUUGGACACUCGUAUACAGGUGGUGCAUGGUUGUCGUCAGCUCGUGUCGUGAGAUGUUGGGUUAAGUCCCGCAACGAGCGCA